rnacentral:lncRNA from 1 species
CUCCCUACUAUUUUCUUUCUGCUGUUUCGUGUGUUUUGAGUCAGUUGGAGCAAGAAAAACGCAGAUGCUCCGACUUCCAGAGCCUCCUCGCUCCAGGUAAAACCACCCGACUCCACUCCCUUCUCUGCGGAAAGCACUAGCAGAAAGAAAGGAGGCCAAAGAGCAGGGCAGAUUCCAUUUUUGGUCAAUAGCCUUUGGGACUCAAAACAAGCUGGAUUCAUUCUUUAAUAUCCUGCCAAGCCUUCAGGUUUAUGCUGUGGACACAUUCAAUAUUUUUAGUGAGAUUUAUGCCUAGAACAGAACUU